UGAUUGUGCUUAAAAGAGAGUGGUUCUCACUCUGAAUCUGAAUCUGAAUCUCCGUCGUGAGCUCCGUCGCACACGGCGUCCGCGAGAGGAUUGUGGUCCACCGGAUUUGUGUGGAAAUUGCCGCCCACGUGGCCUUCAUUCACAAGUCACGUCCUGUAUUUAAUUAAUUAAAAGUUUUCGGUUUAAUAUUGCCUUGAUUUGCGUUGCGUUACCCUCUGGCCGUAGAUGACGAAUCAUCUGAACCGGCGCUGCCUCCCCAUUCUUGUCCGAUACGUUCUGAAUUUCAUCGGCUUCGUAAUCAUCACCCCAUACGUGCCUUCCCACCAAACACGUAGUUGCUUCUCCGGCGAAGAGGAUGCAUUCCGGUCCGGCGAGCGGUGCAAUUAAUGAAAUGAAUUAACAUUAAUUGGUAAAAGAAAGAACGGGAGGAGGGUAAAGUGGGGGCAUGAAUCUGGAAUUAAAUAUUGAGAGAAAUAAUGAGGCGGUUGGCGUUGUGGGUUGGCCAGUUAAGUUAUUAGUUGGCAAUUGGCAUGUCACAAGGAAGGAGGAUGACUCUGGCUGGUUGGUUUGGUGACAUUUACGGAAAUGCCCUUCUGGCUUUUGGAUGUGACAUUAGAGCAUAUACCAUAUAACAUAAUUAAUAUUCGGAGGGGUCAAAGGAAUUAGGCCAACCCUUGGCUUCAAAGAAACGUGAAGACUUGAGUAAUGAUUUCAUAAAUUCCAAAGCUUUAAAAAUGAUUAGUUUAUUAAAAUUUUCGAAUUUUUAGGAUGGAAGUCUCUGGAGAAGUUAUGAAUUUACUUAUAAGGAGAACUAUUUUUUAAAUUGGGAGAUGGAUUAUUGGAUGUCAAAUAAUAUUUUUGUAGAAAGAUUUUUGGAGGAACCUUGUUGGCUUUUGUUUGAUGAGAAAGCUCUUAUUUUAGAGGUGUGAUAAAUUCUUUUUUUAGUA